rnacentral:rRNA from 1 species
GAUGAACGCUGGCGGCGUGCCUAAUACAUGCAAGUCGAGCGAACGGACGAGAAGCUUGCUUCUCUGAUGUUAGCGGCGGACGGGUGAGUAACACGUGGAUAACCUACCUAUAAGACUGGGAUAACUUCGGGAAACCGGAGCUAAUACCGGAUGAUAUUUUGAACCGCAUGGUUCAAAAGUGAAAGACGGUCUUGCUGUCACUUAUAGAUGGAUCCGCGCUGCAUUAGCUAGUUGGUAAGGUAACGGCUUACCAAGGCAACGAUGCAUAGCCGACCUGAGAGGGUGAUCGGCCACACUGGAACUGAGACACGGUCCAGACUCCUACGGGAGGCAGCAGUAGGGAAUCUUCCGCAAUGGGCGAAAGCCUGACGGAGCAACGCCGCGUGAGUGAUGAAGGUCUUCGGAUCGUAAAACUCUGUUAUUAGGGAAGAACAUAUGUGCAAGUAACUGUGCACAUCUUGGCGGUACCUAAUCAGAAAGCCACGGCUAACUACGUG